ACGCUCGACACCUACGGAGGCAGCAGUGGGGAAUAUUGCACAAUGGAGGAAACUCUGAUGCAGCGACGCCGCGUGAGGGAAGAAGGUCUUCGGAUUGUAAACCUCUGUUGUCAGGGACGAUGAUGACGGUACCUGACGAGGAAGCCACGGCUAACUACGUGCCAGCAGCCGACGGUAAUCUGAGGCGGGCUGGACGAAGGC
rnacentral:rRNA from 1 species